UACGUAGGGUGCAAGCGUUGUCCGGAAUUAUUGGGCGUAAAGAGCUCGUAGGCGGUUUGUCACGUCGGAUGUGAAACCCUGAGGCUCAACCUCAGGCCUGCAUUCGAUACGGGCAGACUAGAAUUCGGCAGGGGAGACUGGAAUUCCUGGUGUAGCGGUGGAAUGCGCAGAUAUCAGGAAGAACACCGAUGGCGAAGGCAGUUCUCUGGGACGGUACUGACGCUGAGACGCGAAAGCGUGGGGAGCGAACAGG
rnacentral:rRNA from 1 species